AAGCUUGCUUCUCUUGAGAGCGGCGGACGGGUGAGUAAUGCCUAGGAAUCUGCCUGGUAGUGGGGGAUAACGUUCGGAAACGGACGCUAAUACCGCAUACGUCCUACGGGAGAAAGCAGGGGACCUUCGGGCCUUGCGCUAUCAGAUGAGCCUAGGUCGGAUUAGCUAGUUGGUGAGGUAAUGGCUCACCAAGGCGACGAUCCGUAACUGGUCUGAGAGGAUGAUCAGUCACACUGGAACUGAGACACGGUCCAGACUCCUACGGGAGGCAGCAGUGGGGAAUAUUGGACAAUGGGCGAAAGCCUGAUCCAGCCAUGCCGCGUGUGUGAAGAAGGUCUUCGGAUUGUAAAGCACUUUAAGUUGGGAGGAAGGGCAGUUACCUAAUACGUGAUUGUUUUGACGUUACCGACAGAAUAAGCACCGGCUAACUCUGUGCCAGCAGCCGCGGUAAUACAGAGGGUGCAAGCGUUAAUCGGAAUUACUGGGCGUAAAGCGCGCGUAGGUGGUUUGUUAAGUUGGAUGUGAAAUCCCCGGGCUCAACCUGGGAACUGCAUUCAAAACUGACUGACUAGAGUAUGGUAGAGGGUGGUGGAAUUUCCUGUGUAGCGGUGAAAUGCGUAGAUAUAGGAAGGAACACCAGUGGCGAAGGCGACCACCUGGACUGAUACUGACACUGAGGUGCGAAAGCGUGGGGAGCAAACAGGAUUAGAUACCCUGGUAGUCCACGCCGUAAACGAUGUCAACUAGCCGUUGGGAGCCUUGAGCUCUUAGUGGCGCAGCUAACGCAUUAAGUUGACCGCCUGGGGAGUACGGCCGCAAGGUUAAAACUCAAAUGAAUUGACGGGGGCCCGCACAAGCGGUGGAGCAUGUGGUUUAAU
rnacentral:rRNA from 1 species